GGGCAAUCGAGUCACUCCAACCCCUGUGACAUACCAAUUGUUGCCUCGGCGGAUCAGCCCGCUCCCGGUAAAACGGGACGGCCCGCCAGAGGACCCCUAAACUCUGUUUCUAUAUGUAACUUCUGAGUAAAACCAUAAAUAAAUCAAAACUUUCAACAACGGAUCUCUUGGUUCUGGCAUCGAUGAAGAACGCAGCAAAAUGCGAUAAGUAAUGUGAAUUGCAGAAUUCAGUGAAUCAUCGAAUCUUUGAACGCACAUUGCGCCCGCCAGUAUUCUGGCGGGCAUGCCUGUUCGAGCGUCAUUUCAACCCUCAAGCCCCCGGGUUUGGUGUUGGGGAUCGGCGAGCCCUCGCGGCAAGCCGGCCCCGAAAUCUAGUGGCGGUCUCGCUGCAGCUUCCAUUGCGUAGUAGUAAAACCCUCGCAACUGGUACGCGGCGCGGCCAAGCCGUUAAACCCCCAACUUCUGAAUGUUGACCUCGGAUCAGGUAGGAAUACCCGCUGAACUUAAGCAUAUCAAAUCGGAAAGAAAAUUCAUUACCAAGUUUACAACUCCCAAACCCUGGUGAACAUACAAUUGGUGCCUCGCCGAAAACCGCUUCGGGUAAAACGGGACGGCCCCCGAGGACCUAAACUCUGUUUCUAUAUGUAACUUCUGAGUAAAACCAUAAAUAAAUCAAAACUUUCAACAAGGAUCUCUUGGUUCUGGCAUCGAUGAAAGAACGCAGCAAAAUGCGAUAAGUAAUGUGAAUUGCAGAAUUCAGUGAAUCAUCGAAUCUUUGAACGCACAUUGCGCCCGCAGUAUUCUGGCGGGCAUGCCUGUUCGAGCGUCAUUUCACCUCAGCCCCGGGUUUGGUGGUUGGGGAUCGGCAACCCCCCGCAGCCCGCCCAAAACAGUGGCGGUCUCUCUGCGCUUACUUGGGGAUAAUAAAACCCCAAAUGGUACCGGCGCGCCAGCCUUAAACCCCCCUCUCUGUGAGCCCCCUGACGUGGAACACCCCCAUCAUACAUACAUGCGUGUAA
rnacentral:rRNA from 1 species